GGGCAUUUGGCACAGUGGUAGCGCGUAUGCUUUGCAUCCUCAAGUGUGAAGUGCAUAAGGUCCAGGGUUCAAACCCCUGAAUGUCCA